rnacentral:lncRNA from 1 species
AAUAAUCAGAAACAAUCAAAUUUUUUUUAUGUUAAAAUAGUUCAAAAGUCCAUAAAUUUACAACAUGAUCCAUAGAUUUACUUCCGCCCGCUUACUAUGAAUUUACAAUAUAUUCCUAAAUGUAACUAACAUCUCAAAAAAUAAAAUGAAAAGAAAAAUAACAAUUCCCCUAAUUUCAGGACUUCCACUGCCACCAGAACUUCUUAAAACAAGCUUCAUACUUGUAAGAAAUAAGCUAUAGAGCUGUUGCUCACAAGUCAACCUCCCAACCUUGAGAUAUCUUGACCUUGUGUCACUCACAUACAAGACAACAGAGAUAAAAGCAGGUUUCAGCAUUUUUGAGAUUCAUUAACUAACAUUUUUUUAAUCUAAAUGAUAAAUAAUCAAACAAAAGAGAAAGGAGACCAUUAAGUCAUGGAAUAUUCAUGUUUCAAAUAGUCACAUAUACUACAUUCAUACCAAAACAUCCAAGUAUCGCAUGGAAGCUCAUUCAUUAUACAUGUUUUAUCACAAGCAUACUGAUGUUAUAUUACUUCAAAAAAAAAAAAAACAAUACAUGAGAGGAGGUGGAAUACCUUGUAACAAUAUGAAACAAGCAGUAAAAAAGGCUGAAUACUAGUUCAGAAUUUUGGAAAAGAAGUAGCCAACAAAAAUAGACAGCAACAGUGAGAAUCAAACCCAAAAAAUACCCAAAAUCAACCUAAUCAGAAGACCACCAAAAAUAGAAUACCGGCCUACAAUUCUAACCGGUAAAGUUGAAGUUUUUCAAAGAACCUUUUAGGAAUUUUCUCUUUGUUUUUCAGAACUUUAAGUGGCGAAAAUACUAAGGAAUAUCGAAUGUUGAUGAUUGCUAAUGAUUGUGUGUGUGAUUGUGUGAGAGAAUGUUUCCGUUUGUAGAGUGCAAAAAGCAACCCAAAAAGAAAUAUUCCGAUCUAGUACAAUGUAUUUUUACAGCUGUAUUGUCCUUUUUCUUUAUCCAAAACUAGUAUUUGCUAAGGAUAAGGACAACUAUCCUAAGUUCCAGAAAUUUUCUAAUUUUACCCAAUGUGAAACCCCAAUUUUAUCCUUUGAAUUACCACCUAUUUCAGUUUUAUCCUAAACUUGUAGGUUUAGUUAAGUCCCUAAAGUUUCUAUCUGUGAGCAAAUUAGAACAAAUAAGGACAAACCUAAAAUUGGUUGGAAAUUUGGAUAAAAAUGCCUAAGAAGAUCAAAUGGGUGCAGUCUAAACUUAGCAAAAGGAAAUUUUUAAUUGAUUAAAACCUAAACUAGAAUUAAAACUUAACAAAUAAUGCAUUUAAAUAGUAAUUCAAAAUCAGAGAUGCAACUGCAAGGAAAUGACUAGAACUCAAACUCUAUCAAUUUGUAGAACUUAAAUAAAUGAAACAAUAAAAGGCUAAAUAAUUGUUAAUUCUACUAGACUAAGACAUUAUAUCAGCUUAGGGAAAUAGAAUCGUCAACUGAAAUGCUGAAUCUUAGAGACGAAACCUAGGAUAACUAAAAUCGUACAAUUGGAAACAUGUUUUUCCUUCUUUUGUUUAAUCUAAUAAACAACAUGCAGCCAGAAUAAAACGAUUAAAUAUGUAAAAGAAGAACAAAAGAUAAAACCAAACAACAGAAGAAAAGAAAGAGAUUUACCUAAGUUUUAUUUCAAAAUUGAAUCAAUUUAUGAACUAGUCCAAACUCUUUAAAGCGUAAAUGAACUUUGAAUACCAUUAAUCGAUUGAUCUUAACAAGAACUGUUCACUAAUGGAGGUUUCGCUUGACCAGAUAUAGACCAAGAAAAGAGAAAGAAAUUUGAGUUUCAGAUUCAAAAUUAGGUCGAUUUUGGGAUCGUUCAAAAGGGAAUAUGGGGAUAUCUGGGGAGAGGAGGUGAUGGUGACUAUUUGGUGUGAAUUUGGUGGGAUUUGGAAUAGUUAAGGUUUUAGACGGAUUUUCGAUCUAAAAUUCGAGGGUUUAGGCUGGGAUUCGAGGUAAAGGAUCUUUCAAGGUGUAAAUUUGAGGAGAUUUGGCCGUGAUCCGCUGCCGUGAAGCGAUUUUCGACCGGCGAACUACGGUGGAAUUGGGCAGAGCCAGCGAGUGAUAUAAAUGCGGCUAGGGUUUAGAGUUUAGAGAGACUCUGGAGACUGUGAGUGAGGGCUCUUUUGUGGGGUAAGGGGUUCUGGUUUUCGG